rnacentral:snRNA from 1 species
UGACGAUUUUAGCCUUUAUAUAUC